rnacentral:rRNA from 1 species
GACGAACGCUGGCGGCGUGCUUAACACAUGCAAGUCGAACGGUGAACCUCUUCGGAGGGACUCAGUGGCGAACGGGUGAGUAACACGUGGGCAACCUGCCCCCGGCUCUGGGAUAACUCCAAGAAAUUGGGGCUAAUACCGGAUGUUCACCGCUUCCCGCAUGGGUGGUGGUGGAAAGGGUUUCCGGCUGGGGAUGGGCCCGCGGCCUAUCAGCUUGUUGGUGGGGUAGUGGCCUACCAAGGCGACGACGGGUAGCCGGCCUGAGAGGGUGACCGGCCACACUGGGACUGAGACACGGCCCAGACUCCUACGGGAGGCAGCAGUGGGGAAUAUUGCGCAAUGGGCGGAAGCCUGACGCAGCGACGCCGCGUGGGGGAUGACGGCCUUCGGGUUGUAAACCUCUUUCAGCAGGGACGAAGCGCAAGUGACGGUACCUGCAGAAGAAGCACCGGCCAACUACGUG